GCCAUUUUUGGAUCAUUGGGGGCCAAUUUGGGUCAAAAAAUGGCAUUUUGGGGUCAUUGGGAGCCAUUUUGGGUCAAAAAAUGGCAUUUUGGGGUCAUUGGGGGCCAUUUUGGGGUGAAAAAUGGCAUUUUGGGGUCAUUGGGGGUCAUUUUGGGCCAAAAAAUCCCAUUUUGGGGCCAUUUUGGGAUCAUUUGGAGUCAUUGGGUGCCAUUUUGGGUCAAAAAAUGCCAUUUUGGGGGUCAUUGGGAGCCAUUUUAGGUUGAAAAAUGCCAUUUUGGGGUCAGUGGGCGCCAUUUUGUGUCAGAAAUCCCCCUUUUGGGGUCAUCGGGUGCCAUUUUGGGAUGAAAAACGCCAUUUUGGGGCCACUGGUUGCCACUGUGGGUCAGGAAAUGCCCCUCGGGGGCCACAUUGCCCCGAUUUUGGGGUAAAAAAGGCCGAUUUUGGUGCAUUCUGCCCUCAGAGCUCCGGUGCCCACAGAGUUUGACUUCGAGGACGAACCCACGGCGCCUCGCAGCGCCCUGAUGGAGCGCCGCCGCACCCCAGGUCCCACAGAUUUGGGUCAAAUUCCCCCGGAUUUGGGUUUCUCUCUUGUUUGGGGUCGUUUCUGCCCUUUUUGGGGUCGUUUCUGCCUCUUUUUGGGGCCGUUUCUGCCUCUUUUUGGGGUCGUUUCUGCCCUUUUUGGGGCCGUUUCUGCCUCUUUUUGGGGUCGUUUCUGCCUCUUUUUGGGGUCGUUUCUGCCUCUUUUGGGGCCAGUUUUGGGCCAAAUUCCCCCCAAUUUGGGUUUCUCUCUUUUUUGAGGGCUGUCUCUGCCUCUUUU
rnacentral:lncRNA from 1 species